GAGGAUACAGCUCAGUUGGUAGAGCAUUUGCCUCGCUUGCACAAGUCCCUGGGUUCAACCCCCAGCACCACA
rnacentral:tRNA from 1 species